AUUGAACGCUGGCGGCAUGCCUUACACAUGCAAGUCGAACGGUAACAGGUCUUCGGAUGCUGACGAGUGGCGAACGGGUGAGUAAUACAUCGGAACGUGCCUAGUAGUGGGGGAUAACUACUCGAAAGAGUGGCUAAUACCGCAUGCGAUCUACGGAUGAAAGCAGGGGAUCGAAAGACCUUGUGCUACUAGAGCGGCCGAUGGCAGAUUAGGUAGUUGGUGGGAUAAAAGCUUACCAAGCCGACGAUCUGUAGCUGGUCUGAGAGGACGAUCAGCCACACUGGGACUGAGACACGGCCCAGACUCCUACGGGAGGAAGCAGUGGGGAAUUUUGGACAAUGGGCGAAAGCCUGAUCCAGCAAUGCCGCGUGCAGGAUGAAGGCCUUCGGGUUGUAAACUGCUUUUGUACGGAACGAAAAGCCCUGGGUUAGUACCCUGGGGUCAUGACGGUACCGUAAGAAUAAGCACCGGCUAACUACGUGCCAGCCGCCGCAGUAAGAC
rnacentral:rRNA from 1 species